AUGUCCGGGACUGGGCUCUGCCAGGCUGGCACUGGGAGGUGCUACCUGGAGGGGCACCGCUUGGUGAGGAACCCGGCCUCGGGUCCCGUCGUCGACCCUGAUCUCCUUUGGAGGCGUUCGCGUGGGCCACAUUCGGUGCAGAGGGAGCCGGCCCCGCCGGAGGUGGUGCGUUGCCGUGUCAGGGAGGAGGACGAGCACGUCCAUCGCUACAUGGCUGCUAUGGACGUCAGGUUCUCCAAUACCUGGCAGGUUCUUUGGGCAGAUGACCGGAGAUAUGAUCCUGUGAUGGUUCCUUCUCUUUGGGUGUCCACGGCCCGCGCCCCAGGAACCGCGAGUGGCCUAGAUUCUUCUGUAGUAUUCGAUCUUUAUUAG
rnacentral:rRNA from 1 species